rnacentral:lncRNA from 1 species
UACGUGGGAAAAGGGCAGAACUUCACGCUGACCUGCAGUGUCUUCUGCCUGAAGCCGUCACUUAAGCUCCAGUGGCUGCACAACAACACGGUGGUGUCGCAAAGGAACAGCACAGAUAACUGCUCAUCGGGUAACUGCACGUUCCCCCUGAAUGUGAGAGAAGCAGCAAUGAAGGACAACGGAGUCUAUCACUGCAGCGCAAACUCCGGGGUGGCCAGCAGUAACAACGUGUUCAUCACGGUGGUGGACCUGGUUGUCACCGUGUCCAACGUGUUGGUUGAGGUGUGUGACGGUGGGACCGCAUCCCUGAGCUGCGUUGCCUCCUCACCCCUGAACUUCUCUCUCUUCUGGGCCCAUGGAGGCUGUGAGGACAAUCGAACCCUUAGCAGUAACGGAACGCUCCUUCUGUCACCUGUGACCGCUCAACACGGUGGCGACUACCACUGCUGUGCUUCCAUCAACACCUGGACUCCCCUCCAAAGGAGCAAGACGGUGAAAGUCAAAGUUCUUGGUACCGAGCGGCCCCAGACCUCCAUCGUCGUGUACUACCUGUUGGCAAAAGGGGGGUUUUUUCUUCUCUUUCUUGUUUUUAAUUUGCUUACACUAUUCUGUAAAUUAGGAGAGCCGAGGUCGUGAUCUAAAAAGGGCUCUUGCUCACAGCAUCACUCCAAGCACACUGACACGCAAACACCCAGGAACACACACGGUGCAUCAUUGUCUCACGGCAUAUCUUUGUAUGUCAGUCACUUUUUGAAUUGGUUCCGAUGCAUCGCUUCCACUGUAGACCCCCCCUGCAUGUGCUGCUUUUACCUUCAGUUAUUAAAUCUUGCAUAUAGCUGCAAAUUUUCCCGCAAAAACGUUGUUCCUUUAAGUGAAGGACGAGUGAGAGCUAUGACAUCUGUUGUGAAUUGCGAUUUGAAAAAUAAUAAAGGCAGGAUGCUUGCAAGAAAACGUGCGUGC